AUGAUGAUUUCGACAAAGCUGAUUGCAUGGCUCAAAAGUCCAACUACACAGGAUCAUUCUCUCAUGCUACACCAGAGGCUGAGUGACCUUUACGGUUGGAGAAGUUAUUGGAGAGCCUUCAUUUGUAUUACCAGGCCUCCAUAAUUGUCCACAUGGAUGAAGUACCAUAUUUCACCAAAUCUAAGUGUGCCACACACAUCUUUUCCACUAAUACUAUCCCACGUCCAAGGCAACCAAAAAAAAGCCCCAUUACAAAAAAAGACUAUGUUUAAAGACUACACAUGACUUGAAAGGAAUAAAAGAGACCAACUAAGUUUGGACCCAAACAGUAAAUGCAGCGGUAUGUUGUUUAGUU
rnacentral:lncRNA from 1 species